ensembl:lncRNA
GUGAAUGCUCACAGGUGGAACGGUUUGCUGCAGAUAUCUGCUCAAGCACUUAAAUUUGAGUGCCUCUGGAAAGGUUAGGUUUCAUUCAGUGUGUGAUUCAUCACUAACUGAACUCCUUUUCCUGGAACUAGAAUGUGUUGAGAGAGUGGAUAAAAGGAAUCCUUUUUCUCUUGAAUCCCAGAAAUGCUUCAGGUGUAUUUGUCUGAACCACGGAUGGAGAAUGAGAAGGAGUCGUGUUGGUUCACAAGGGGACGGCUGCCGGCUGCUGCCUUGUGUUUGUACAAGGGAAGGCUUGCAGGCUGCUUUGAGGCUCGGAGAGCCACUCGAACCAGACUGUGCAUGGAAGAAUGGAUGCCCAACGGUUGGAUUUGCCAACUCCAGAAGGAAGUGCCAGUUUCCAGGGAGGAAAUAAUUAUCUGAACACAUCCUCCUCAGAUCUGCCUCCCACUCCAGCAGCAGAGAGCGUCUGAAAGGAGCUGCCGGAGCAGCUGUUGUUCCAAGUGCAGCAUUCUCCAGUGGGUUUUCCUCCUGGAGCGAUCCUGAGCCCACGCUCAGAGUUAGGGCUGGAGGAAAGGUGCAUGAAUUGCCUGACUUGCACGGUGCUCUCUGCUGGCUCAGUGGAAGUGAUUCACUUGCUCGUGAGUGCGAAAUGUUCGUCGUCCCUCCUACCCACAGCAUGAUGUGGCUUCUACCCUUCCCCCUCUGUGCUCUUAUCUUCUGCUGCUUGGAGAGGCGGAGUGCUCAGCGGCUGUGAGGUUUGUGUGUCUGGAGGGGGUGGCAACUCGCCAGCCCACGGCAUGCUUCUUGUGCUGUGAAAUUGGAGCGGGUGAAUGCCAGCUACUUCAGUGGAAAAUGGGAGCAGUUCCUCUGCUGCCAGUGAGGGCUGCUGCCUGAAGGUACCACUGGGCUCCAAAGAGUGGAAGACUUUGCUUCUGGCUAUGUAUAACACACCUAUUCCUUUGACACACGUGAAUUGGUGUAUAUUACUGGGAAUUCCAGGAUGCUUAGCUGGGAAUGAACUCCUCUCCGUUUCACAACGUGACUCUGUGGUGUUUGUACUAGUUUAGAUUUGUUAAUUUUGUUUUGUCUGUUUGUUAUUUUCCACUGCUUCAGACUGGGGAAUAGCAGCUGGCCGAGGCUUUGUACUGUCCAUGCCUUACCCUGGUUUUUAAAUUGUCUAACUCUGAAUGAGCUGGGACUUAAGGGGCAUCGUAUGAAACCUCCAGGUGGCAGAUCUGAACCUAAGCAGGCCUCCUUCCACGUGCACUGCAGAGCAGUCGGAUGAAUCCGAGGAAGAAAUGUCCAUUGAGGACUAUUAAACACAAAAGCUUUCAUUACCGGGCCGCAGCCUGGGCACACGGCUAACGUGUUCCAUCCAGCAGGGCUUUGGGGACUGCUCCGAUCAGCUCAUCUGACUCCAUCAGCUGUCCAUCAGACGGCUGGGAAGUGCUCCCAGGGCUAACCUACACACGGUGUCAGCAACCCACCGCCUCUGCUCCCGUUGCUGCCUGCAUAAAGGUCACAGAUAACGAUUAAAAAUAAAUAAAUAAGCCAGGAGAACCCCCCAGCCUACCUCUGGGGUCACUCAGGUUUGAAAUAAAUCUCUCAUCUUUCUAUUUCUGAAGCCACAGAUGACUUAAGCCAAAUUGCAUUUGGAGCCGUUAUCCUCACACUCCUGUUUUAUUUAUGCUGCCGUGUCCUGUGCUAACGCUUUGUGAAAUAUUUAUUUGCUUCUGCUCUCCCACAGCUCAGCUGUGGAUUCAUGAGGCUCCUGUGCUAUGUCUCAAUUCUACGCAGCUGCGUUCUGUCAAGAAAGGAGAAAAUGAAGACUCCAAUCUGUGUUUUACAUUGUAGCAAUGCACCAUGUAUGACUGUAGCUGAUGUCUUUCAACAGGUGGAUGUUUUUCAGGUGCCUGGCUUGAGUAAGAGCUGUGGAAUGCAUGUAUGGUGGCAGAACCUUAAUGUGUGAUGAGCAGCUCUUCUGUAUGUGCUUCCCCAAGCUGCCCUUGUGCUUGCUGGCCCUACUGGUUCCAGGUAACUCGCACAAAAGAGUUUGGGAGGAGACAGACGUCCUAAAGGACACCAGUGUGUGGCUUAUUGGUUCAGGGGGUGAGCUGAUUACAAAUUUCAGAUUCUGUCCGUAAGAUAAAUAAAUGAAGUGUCGUAAACACCUUUGUCUUCUGCUCGGGGCUGAAGCGAGCAGCCAAGUCAAACCGGUGUGCAUCCGAAAUGGCUUCUCCAGGCACUGUGCCAGCUUCCUGUCCCUCAGUCCAGGGAGGAAAUGAGCAGCAGCUGUCCUCCCUGCUGCAGCUUUGCUGCUUGCAAGCCAGGGAGGAGGAAAUCUGUGUACUGGGCUCCCCUUCCCUCCCUUUAUCACAAACACCAGAGUCUUGGUUUGAGUUCCUGCAGGAGCAAGGAUAUGGGCUGGCUGAAGAUACUUUGGUGCAGCUCUGACAUUUGGGCAAGCCAGCAGGAUUCUGCUAGAGAGGAUUUGUUCUCUUGCUUCCAGCUGAAAGCCGGACUAGAAGUGUCUGGUUGCCAUCUGAGUUAACUGUUGUUUAGUGUGUAAUGAGUGGAUGGUUCUCAGUCCAGUGGUGGAUGGACAAGUUUAGUCUGAGAGCUGCAGGCAGGGCUGGUCCCCAAGGAGUUGGCUGACACUGACUGUAAGCUGCCUGCAUCUUUAGAGGCAGUGUGUAAAUUGGAGGAAUAAUAAACGUGAGUGCCUGGAGGUGGCACAUGAGUAUACGAUGGAGGAGAUUUUACUUUUACACACUUAAGCUUGGUGAUCUGAUGCCAUCUCUAAAAAACCUUUCCGAGUCUAAAUUCAGUUUUAGGUCAGUAUAUUUAUAUAUAUACACACGUAUUUGGGAAAGGACCUGCUAAGCUGCUGUUGCCACUUCUUGCUGAAUUAUACCAACAAGCUCCUUCUGGUGUUAGCUUUAAGUGACAUUUACUGUGUAAAUGACACUGACAUUCAAGAUGAGUUGUUGGCUUUUGCAGCAGCUUGCUAAUUCCUUGUAGGAUCUCCCAGGAGAAGAGCCUGCAGCAAAGAGCUGCUGCAACAGGUGCUGCUUUGGCCUCCUGUGCUCUGUAGGGAGGAGGGUGAGCGGGCAAAGCCUUGUUGUCACGUCAGCACUUUUUGCUUCCUUUCAUGUCUGUAGGAAACCUGGGGACACACUGAUUUACCUGUUGGGUUUCCAUGAUCGACAACAGUGAAUGCUGUUUGCAUGUGUAGUGAAGGAACCAGCAUGUGCUCGCCUUGUUUAGUGAAUGCCUUCCACUGGAGAUGGAGUGAAGGUCAGGUGGUGGCGGAUCGGUCAGUUGAGAGGUGGGGUAAUGGAAUGAUACUACCACAGAUUGCUGUGUGCUGACUGAUGCUUUAAAAGAUCAGAGAUUUACAUUGGAGGAUACGUAGCUUUGCCAGAAGAAAUUGGGAUGUUUAAAAUUUAUUUUAUCUUUUAGCCAGAGGAGAAGCUUUAAUAGCUGUGAGAAGUGGUUUUGUUUUUCGUUUUGGCCUUUGGUUUGAAGGACAGGCUGGAGUCAGCUGCCUGAUUCACACUGACUUUGGGGGAGAUCCGCCUGCUGAGCUGCUCCUCAUGUAUUUCAGAAAUCUCUUCUUAGUCUGCAAAUCUGUCCAUAACCCCUUUUUAAUUAGCCUGUCUUUCUGGAAGAAGGGACCAAGAAAUCAUGUUCAAAGAUUAUUGCUCUAUCGAGCAGCUGCUAGAAUAGACCAGUUAAUGCUGCAGAACAAUGUUCCAGGCCCCAGCAGCAUGUCUGGGCUGCAUCUCCCAGCUAAUUUGGCUGAGGGCUUUAAACUUCCCCCAGACUGUAGUUCAAACCCAUUUCUGGCCAGUGAUGCUCUGUGCUAUGGCACCAGCUGGUCACUUUGCCAGAUAGCCUAGCUUUGGAUUUCUUGGCAGAGCAAAAUAUUUGAAAGGGAAAGAAAUGAGAGACUGGGGGAGCUACAGAAGAUGAAUGCCAAGAGCAUGUGUGAGCCAAGCAGGAGAUAAUGGUGCUGCCUUUACUGUCCCGGGCACUCCAUCUGCAGCUCGUGCUGCAGCCGUGCUCCUGCUGCUUGGGAUCAAGAGAGACACGUCAGUCUUGCAGGCAGGGUUUGAAUCUGGAUCUUGAAGUUGUUUGGAGAAAAUCAAAGUCUAUUUUAAUGGCAAGCUGUGCUUCUCUAGUGCAAUUCAGGGUGCGGAUGACAAGAGAUUUUGAAGUGUUUCUGCAGCUAUAAUAAUAAAUACAGUUUAGCAUUGGUAUGUGGUCUUAAAGGAGGGGAGAAGAGAGAAAAGCAAGGACCAGUCUUAGAGGUGGAGGAAGGGGUUCAGCAGCUGCAGUUUCUCCUGAUUUUUUCCUGGCUCCUGCAGUUAAUGUGAUGCUGAUGUGGUGACACAGGAGCUGUUACCAUGACCCCAUUCACUGCAUCAUUGGUGACCGAGAGCCAAGCAGUCGGGUUUUUGCUUGAGCUAAUUCAGAGCUGGUGUGGAUGUGUGUGGUGUGGCCUUCAGGCUUUUCUCACACCUGUUGAGCUCUGCAGUCAAGUGUGAAAUCUGCCUGAAAGUCAUUCCAACGUUCAAAUAUGCACCAGAAUUUUGUAACACUUCAUCUCAGCUUUUGACUGCCGAAGGUCUCAGGCCCAUUUCCCAACUUGCCAGCAAGGAUAUUAUAGCUGCAGAAAGCCAGAUUCUGCAGUGACAAACCCUGCAAGCAAGGCUCUGGUAGUUGUGGUGGUGUUUGUCACUAAAUGUGGUAGGAGCCUGAGGGCUGGGUCAGCCUGCAGCCAUCCUGUUUGGAGAGCAUUCCGACAUCCUUGAAUGGCAGCACAGUAAAACUGGAGCUGUAGGUCAUGAAAAAAUUGCAACAUUUUUUUCCUUCUGUAAUAACAGUGGAGACUGAGCACUGCCAGCCACCCCCAAAAAAGGGACCCUUCAGGCUGAGCUGGCUACUGUCAGGCGGCUGGAGGGUGGGGAGGAUAAACUCUGCUUGCUCUCAGCAAGUCCUUGAAAACAUCACCACAUCCAAAGCAUGUGAGCUAGGAAAAACAACUGCCUUCUCUACUCCUUCUCUGCCUGAUGAGGUUAAUAAUAACUUUGAAUGCAUAUGUACAGCAUUAGCUUUCAUGGUAACAUGCAUAAUUCAAAUCCCCCAAAGAACAGUAGAGCUUUGAGGAAGCAAACUUCCUUAAUGUACUGGGCAAGGAUCCAGCUUUUACCAGCUGUUGAGGGUUGAUGUACAAUUUUUGGUUAAGUGAAUAAUUUAUCAUGGAUAUUAUCUGCGGUGUAUCACAUCCCUACAGCUUGUCGGUCUGUACAUAUGGCUCUCGAGAUGCCACAACACUGCCAUAUGCUUCAUGGCCCAUUACCACUUCAAACUCCCCUAAGAUGUUUUUCCCCUGUGUUAAGCAUGUUAAGAGUGCAGUGGGACCACUGGCUCGGUGCAAGAGCUGCUGGCUGGGUUCUUUCCCUAUUAAAAAAAAAAAAAGGAAAAAAAAAAAAAAGGAAAGAUGAUUUGCUGUCCUUUGAAAUAAGCUAUCUGUGCUUCACGAUGCAGACGUGGAUUAUAAAUCCUGCAGAACACCUGCCCUGCUCUCAUCCCCAGCUACCGCUGGUACGGUGUCUUUGUGUGGUUACAAAUCCAGUUGCUGUAACCACGGCCUGCUGUCUAUGAAUCAAGCCUGCUUUAAUCAAAGGAGACUGCUCUGCCCCAAAGCAGGGCUGCAGCUCCCUCACAGCUGCUGUAGGGCUACGUCCCAAAUUCCUCCUGCAGAUAUCCUAAUUCUUGGGCAAGGAUCUUUGGAACUGAGAUCUUUGGACCCUCUUAGUUAAGGUGUAAAGCAUCCAAAUGCUCUUCCUUAAAACCUUUGUCUGUGGAGAGAAGGAAUGCUGAAGCUGAAGAACUUCCCGGCUUGUGUGGCAGCUACUGUGCAAAAGAGGGCAAAAACAUCUGGGUGGUUUGUCAAGUUGAUUGCUUGUAUAGAGAGCAGCUUCGUGUAAUAAAAACGGCUGAGUCAAGAAUGAAAGCAAGCAGCUGCUUGGCAGUAAUUAUAGCUGUGUGUCCCUCAUAAGGACCUGUGAUGGUUCUUCAGAUACAGAACACGCUGUUCAUAAGCUCAGUGCUGUCAUUUCCAAGAGAAAUAUCUUCAGCUGCAUGUUGAGGUGUUGCUGGGGUGUUGGUCAGUGGCUGCCGGGCUGAUGGCUGCAGCUUGCAGUGGAACAAUCCCUGCGUGAGUGUGGUUUUUCAGUUUAGAAGAGAGAAAAGGUGCUUAUAGAAUAGGAACAGUCCCUGAUGUUGGAGAAAUUAUUUCCGGUUCAAUGUCACGUAUGCUUCUCC